UAGGGAAUCUUCGGCAAUGGACGGAAGUCUGACCGAGCAACGCCGCGUGAGUGAAGAAGGUUUUCGGAUCGUAAAGCUCUGUUGUAAGAGAAGAACGAGUGUGAGAGUGGAAAGUUCACACUGUGACGGUAUCUUACCAGAAAGGGACGGCUAACUACGUGCCAGCAGCCGCGGUAAUACGUAGGUCCCGAGCGUUGUCCGGAUUUAUUGGGCGUAAAGCGAGCGCAGGCGGUUAGAUAAGUCUGAAGUUAAAGGCUGUGGCUUAACCAUAGUACGCUUUGGAAACUGUUUAACUUGAGUGCAAGAGGGGAGAGUGGAAUUCCAUGUGUAGCGGUGAAAUGCGUAGAUAUAUGGAGGAACACCGGUGGCGAAAGCGGCUCUCUGGCUUGUAACUGACGCUGAGGCUCGAAAGCGUGGGGAGCAAACAGGAUUAGAUACCCUGGUAGUCCACGCCGUAACGAUGAGUGCUAGAUGUUAGACCCUUUCCGGGGUUUAGUGCCGCAGCUAACGCAUUAAGCACUCCGCCUGGGGAGUACGACCGCAAGGUU
rnacentral:rRNA from 1 species